UACGAAGGGGGCUAGCGUUGCUCGGAAUCACUGGGCGUAAAGCGCACGUAGGCGGCUUUUUAAGUCAGAGGUGAAAUCCUGGAGCUCAACUCCAGAACUGCCUUUGAUACUGGAGAGCUUGAGUCCGGGAGAGGUGAGUGGAACUGCGAGUGUAGAGGUGAAAUUCGUAGAUAUUCGCAAGAACACCAGUGGCAAAGGCGGCUCACUGGCCCGGUACUGACGCUGAGGUGCGAAAGCGUG
rnacentral:rRNA from 1 species